rnacentral:miRNA from 1 species
UUCGUCUAUAUGGAGAAAGG